rnacentral:rRNA from 1 species
UGAUCCUGGCUCAGAACGAACGCUGGCGGCAGGCGUAACACAUGCAAGUCGAGCGCUACCUUCGGGUGGAGCGGCGGACGGGUUAGUAACGCGUGGGAACGUACCCAGAUCUAAGGAAUAGCCACUGGAAACGGUGAGUAAUACCUUAUACGCCCUUUCGGGGGAAAGAUUUAUCGGAUUUGGAUCGGCCCGCGUUAGAUUAGAUAGUUGGUGGGGUAAUGGCCUACCAAGUCUACGAUCUAUAGCUGGUUUUAGAGGAUGAUCAGCAACACUGGGACUGAGACACGGCCCAGACUCCUACGGGAGGCAGCAGUGGGGAAUCUUGGACAAUGGGCGCAAGCCUGAUCCAGCCAUGCCGCGUGAGUGAUGAAGGCCUUAGGGUCGUAAAGCUCUUUCGCCAGAGAUGAUAAUGACAGUAUCUGGUAAAGAAACCCCGGCUAACUCCGUGCCAGCAGCCGCGGUAAUACGGAGGGGGUUAGCGUUGUUCGGAAUUACUGGGCGUAAAGCGUACGUAGGCGGAUUAGUCAGUCAGAGGUGAAAUCCCAGGGCUCAACCCUGGAACUGCCUUUGAUACUGCUAGUCUUGAGUUCGAGAGAGGUGAGUGGAAUUCCAAGUGUAGAGGUGAAAUUCGUAGAUAUUUGGAGGAACACCAGUGGCGAAGGCGGCUCACUGGCUCGAUACUGACGCUGAGGUACGAAAGUGUGGGGAGCAAACAGGAUUAGAUACCCUGGUAGU